UUCGCUUAUAUAUAUCUAGUCUGUAGACUCAAAUCCUUAAGGAUGUUUAUAACGCGUAACGUUGUCGACUUAUCAUUCAUAAUGAACUGGUAUUUAGUCCUCCUAUCGCAAAAAGCUACUCACCACUGAACGAUUAUACUUACUUUGUUUUUUCGACGAAACAAAAUAUAGUGAAGGUUUGUUGACAAAGUGUCUGAGCGCAGCCGGCAAAGUCACAAAGGACAAAGGUUAAAGCUAUUAGGAAAACAUUCUGAGCAAAUACUUUAGCGAAACCACUGUACUUGAUGCAAUACAGGAUUGCGCUGGAAAUGUUCUUUCUUACGCAGUGAACUCAAAAACUAAGUCUACGUGCUUCGUCGAUACGAGUUUGAACUGAUAAAAAACGUUAAUAAAAAUAAGGAUAAAGUUGGAAGACUGAUUUGUGCAGUCACCUAACCUAAGAAAUCGACUCGAGUAUCAAGGAAAUAUUUUAUUUACAUUAUCUCUUACUAUUUAUACUAAAAUACAUAUUCUCCUAAAUAAAAUAACAUCAUGGCUGCAGAAGCAGAAAAUAAAUCCAUUCCAGACUCAACUUUGAGAUAUAUCACUUUGCUGAAGAGUAAAAUUAUCAAAACUGACUCCUUGUUGAAACAGUUUAAUGAUAAAUUAAUAGAAACG